rnacentral:rRNA from 1 species
AUACGGAAGGUCCGGGCGUUAUCCGGAUUUAUUGGGUUUAAAGGGAGCGCAGGCGGAGAUGCAAGCGUGACGUCAAAUUUCGGGGCUCAACCCCGUCUCGCGUCGCGAACUGCGUCCCUUGGUUGCGGGAAGGGGAGGCGGAACUCGUGGUGUAGCGGUGAAAUUCAUAGAUAUCACGAAGAACUCCGAUCGCGAAGGCAGCCUUCCGGCCCGUCAACGACGCUCAUGCUCGAAGGUACGGGUAUCAAACAGGAUUAGAUACCCUGGUAGUCCGCACAGUAAACGAUGGACACCCGCGGUUUGGCCUAUAUGGCUGAGCCGCCAAGCGAAAGCGUUAAGUGUCCCACCUGGGGAGUACGCCGGCAACGGUGAAACUCAAAUGAAUGGACGUGG